ACUAUAUAUUACAUUUGAAAUUAUGCUCUAAGUGGUAAUGGCCCAAAUGCUAGGGGACAUCCAUAAAUUACGUAACACAUUUUGAAGAUUUUUUAGACUCCCGCCCCCUGGUAUGUAACAGAUCGUAACAAAUUACCAGACCCCCCCUACCCCUAAAGGAUUUGUUACGUAACAUAAUCAUUUUGUCUCAACAGAAAAAGUUCUUGAAUUAUUUAAAUUUAAAUUUAUUGCACAAAACAAUUGCUACAUAUUUAGUUUAUUAAUUAAAGAAGUAAUAUGAAAAAUUAACGUUCA